CAAUAGCCCAGAUAGCAGUGGAAAUCCUUUUAUGUUUUUUCUUUAAAAACAUAAAAGAUUGAAACGAAUAGCUGGAAAUAGC
rnacentral:sRNA from 1 species